rnacentral:snRNA from 14 species
UCAUGUCAACAUGCAUAUACCAAAACUGGAAUGAUAACAGAGAAAUUAGCAUGGCCCCAGGCAAAGAUGACCAGCAACAUUGUGGACAGGACAUUAGCUGC